rnacentral:rRNA from 1 species
GAUGAACGCUAGCUACAGGCUUAACACAUGCAAGUCGAGGGGAAACGCCAUUGAAGCUUGCUUCGAUGGUCGUCGACCGGCGCACGGGUGAGUAACGCGUAUCCAACCUGCCUCUGACCAAGGGAUAACCCGUCGAAAGUCGGCCUAAUACCUUAUGCAGUCGUCGGAAGUCAUCUGAUGACGACGAAAGAUUUCAUCGGUGAGAGAUGGGGAUGCGUCUGAUUAGCUUGUUGGCGGGGUAACGGCCCACCAAGGCAACGAUCAGUAGGGGUUCUGAGAGGAAGGUCCCCCACAUUGGAACUGAGACACGGUCCAAACUCCUACGGGAGGCAGCAGUGAGGAAUAUUGGUCAAUGGGCGAGAGCCUGAACCAGCCAAGUAGCGUGCAGGAGGACGGCCCUAGGGGUUGUAAUCUGCUGUUAAGCGGGGAUAAAGUGAGGGACGUGUCCUUCAUUGCAGGUACCGCAUGAAUAAGGACCGGCUAAUUCCGUG